GGCUCAAGUGUGGAGCUAGGAGAAUCCACUUCACCCGCGAACUUGAUGGAAAUGCUCACUCGUGAACCUCACCCCAGACCCACUGAAUCAGAAGCUCUGGAGCGGAGAUCCACCCUCCCAGAUUCUUUGGGGUGCUUGGCCCCCGGACAGUACAGAGCUGAAAGCUGAACUGCAGCGAGAUCAGCAGACGUGAUGUUUACCAUCCUGCCUUCCGAGAAAGUGGGUGGGAAGUGGGGCAAGUGAUGCAAGACUAAUGUGUUCACUUCUCGCUCCUUCUCAGACUUGUUUUGGCAGCCAGGUGAGCUCAGCAGCUUCUGAAGACAGCCAGCGGGGAGGCGUGGGGCAGGAGUAAAUCCUUGCCCUGUUGACUUUUUUCCUCUUUGCACAGCAAUUUCACGUUGCACUUGUCUUUUCUUAUUUGAGUUCAACAUUUAGGUAUGCUUCUAAGAUCCUAAACUUCUUUCUCCUGAAGCCCAAGGAAGGAAAGGAAAAUCAAGAAGGAAAAAAAAAAAACGAAGAAAAAUGAAGGUCGCACAAAAAGUUAGAAAAGUGGUAAGAGGAGACAGAGGCGAAGACUGAGGUGGAAAUUACUGUUAGGGAAAACAGCUGACAUACCAUGAACACACCCAGGCGGCUCUGUGAAGCCCAUAUUGUAAUGAACUGAGGCCUUCUGCCAAUAGCCACCUGAGCAAGCCAUCUUCAAAGUGGAUCCUCUAAGUCUGGUCAAGCCAUCAGAUGACUUCUCAUAAGGUUGCAGCCUUGACUGACAGCUUGACAGGAACCUCAUGAAAUCCCUGGAGCCAGAAGCCCCUAGGAAAGCUGCUCCCAGAUUCCUAACUCAGAAAUUGUGUGCGAUAAUAAAUAUGUGUUGUUUUAAGAUGCUAAUCUUUUGUUUAAUUUGUUAUACAGCAAUAGAUAACUAAUCUAGUUAUCUAAUGCAUGGCCUCCACAAGUUUGCAAUGCAGUUGGAGAAGUAAGUUACA